CCGAGGUGCAGAAAUUCUGAGGUGGUCACUCGGCCCCUGUGUCUCCGCUGUUCCUCUGAUCCGCACGCACCCGCUCUGGCUCUGCAGAUCUCAUGUGUGGGGUUCUUCCUAGGCUACAUUGGCUGAACUUAUAAGACACAGACUCAGAAGCACCUGUCAUGGCUCCAGGAGACCUCUGCUUCUAGUAGGACUGUAGGAGAAGUGCCUUGACAGGAGAAUGGUCCAGAGCAGCUCAGCUCAAACUGGGGCUUGAGAGACAGACCAAAACAUUGUCGGGAACGGCCCAGAAGAGAGAACUUCUGAGGAUGGCGCAGAAGGGUGACAGCUGUUCUCUUCUGCGACUUGACUUUCCCAAGAAUCUGUUCAGGGAAUAGGAUAUGGGACUCAUCAGAGUCAUCACGGCGUGGGUGGAAGCACAUUUCCUUAAUGGGUAAAAAAUCGAAACCUGCCUUUUCAAGAUAUCUAAAUGAUACCUUUGAAAAGGAACCGGAAUCAGCCUAAAGUUCCGGAGCCCGGGAAGUCUGAGAUCCGGGUACCUGAAGAUUCACUUCCCGAUGAGUACCCUCUUCUGGCUUGCAGAUGGCCGCCUUCUGGCUGUGUUCUCACAUGUGGAGAGAGAGCAUUCUGAUAUCUGAAGGGCUGUCAUGUGGAGGAGAAACAGACUGCUUCUGUGUGGCUCCAGAAGGCAAAACGAGACGGAUGAAGAAAGCUUGGAGGAGAAAUACUUUAGCUCAGCACAAGGCAGAACCUUCUGAACUAGUCCUCAGGAAGAUGACGCUGAGCAACAGAGUGGGCUUGCUCCCAGUCACAGGGGCGGUUUGUGGAGGCUGAACCCUUUUGUCAAGGGUGCAGUAUAGAAAGGAUCUAUUUACUAGAUAAGGCGCCCCUGCUUCUAAGAUAGUCUCCAUUUUUAAUUGCAUUUCUGUACAACUCAGGUGCCACUUUAGUAAUCAAUCAGCCACAGGAGGAAAGGAAAGGGAAAGGAAAGACAGGGAGAGAACCACCCAGCCGCAUUCUUAUUAAUUUUUUAUAAUCUUAAUUUUCAUGAUGAUAAGAAGAAAAAGUAAACCGUGUGCUAUGACCAAAAUUUGGUUACUAUAGAAAAGUCUGAAGUAGAAAAUAUCUAUCACCUAUCUCCCACCACACAUUUUGGGUAUCUAUUUUUACUUUUCUUUUAUCAAUAUAUACAUAAUUUGGUAACAGUUUUAUUGAAAUAGAAUUCACAUACCCCACAAUUCAGCCAUUUCAAACGUACAGUUGAAUGGUUUUUAGCAUGUUCUCAGAGUUGUACAACCACCACCACAACCCAAUUUAGAAUAUUUUCCUAAACCCAUUCCCCAAACCCUCUACCCUAUAGCAGUGACCCCAUUAUUUCCUCCACUUCCUCACACCCCUUCAGCUCAGGGAAACCACUGAUCUAUUUUCUAACUCUAUAGACUUUCUUAUUCUGGAAUUUCCUGUAAAUAGAAUAUUAUAUAACCAUAAUAUGUGGCCUUUUGUGGUCAGCUUCUUUCACUUACCAUAGUAUGUUCACAGUUCAUCCAUAUUGUAAUCUGUGUCAUUACUGUAAUCAUCUCUGUUGCUGAAAAAUACUCCAGUGUAGGAGAAUGCCACAUUUUCUACCCAUAACUUCAGGCCGAUGGAUUUUUGGAUUGUUUCCAUUUUUGCCUAUGAUGUAUAAGGCUGCAUGGAUAUUUGCAUACACAUUUUUGUAUGAGCAUAUGUUUUCAUUUCUCUUGGGUACAUACCUAGAAAUAGAAUUUUUUAGGUCCUAUGGUAGCUAUCUUUAAACCUUUUGAGGAAUUUCCAGACUGUUUCCCAAGACGUUUAUACCAUUUACAUUUCUACCAGCAGUGGUGAGAAUUCUCUCCACAUCCUCACCAACACUUGCUAUUAUCAGUCCUUUUUAUUCAAGCCAUCCUAGUGGCUAUAAAGAUGCAUCUCAUGGGGCACCUAGCUGACUCAAUCAGCAGAACCUGUGACUCUUGAUCUUG